AUUGAACGCUGGCGGCAUGCUUUACACAUGCAAGUCGAGCGGCAGCGCGGGGGCAACCCUGGCGGCGAGCGGCGAACGGGUGAGUAAUGCAUCGGAACGUAUCCUCGAGUGGGGGAUAACCCAGCGAAAGUUGGGCUAAUACCGCAUGAGCUCUGAGGAGGAAAGCGGGGGACCUGCGAGGGCCUCGCGCUGGAGGAGCGGCCGAUGUCCGAUUAGCUAGUUGGUGGGGUAAAGGCUUACCAAGGCGACGAUCGGUAGCUGGUCUGAGAGGAUGAUCAGCCACACUGGAACUGAGACACGGCCCAGACUCCUACGGGAGGCAGCAGUGGGGAAUUUUGGACAAUGGGGGAAACCCUGAUCCAGCCAUGCCGCGUGAGUGAAGAAGGCCUUCGGGUUGUAAAGCUCUUUCGGACGGAACGAAAUGGGCGGGACUAAUACUCCUGUCUGAUGACGGUACCGUAAGAAGAAGCACCGGCUAACUACGUG
rnacentral:rRNA from 1 species